UACGUAGGGUGCAAGCGUUAAUCGGAAUUACUGGGCGUAAAGUGUGCGCAGGUGGCUUCGCAAGUCGAGUGUGAAAUCCCCGGGCUUAACCUGGGAAUUGCGCUCGAAACUACGGAGCUGGAGUAUGGCAGAGGGAGGUGGAAUUCCACGUGUAGCGGUGAAAUGCGUAGAGAUGUGGAGGAACACCAAUGGCGAAGGCAGCCUCCUGGGCCAAUACUGACACUCAUGCACGAAAGCGUGGGGAGCAAACAGG
rnacentral:rRNA from 1 species